rnacentral:rRNA from 1 species
UCCUACGGGAGGCAGCAGUGGGGAAUAUUGCACAAUGGGCGAAAGCCUGAUGCAGCAACGCCGCGUGAGUGAUGAAGGCCUUCGGGUCGUAAAACUCUGUCCUCAAGGAAGAUAAUGACGGUACUUGAGGAGGAAGCCCCGGCUAACUACGUGCCAGCAGCCGCGGUAAUACGUAGGGGGCUAGCGUUAUCCGGAUUUACUGGGCGUAAAGGGUGCGUAGGCGGUCUUUCAAGUCAGGAGUGAAAGGCUACGGCUCAACCGUAGUAAGCUCUUGAAACUGGGAGACUUGAGUGCAGGAGAGGAGAGUGGAAUUCCUAGUGUAGCGGGGAAAUGGGUAGAUAUUAGGAGGAACACCAGUUGCGAGGGCGGCUCUCUGGACUGUAACGGACGCUGAGGCACGAAAGCGGGGGGAGCAAACAGGAGUAGAUACCCUGGUAGUCCACGCUGUAAACGAUGAGUACUAGGUGUCGGGGGUUACCCCC